GCGGCGGUCGUCAGUGUAAACAAUGAUGGGUUGACACUUGAGGCUUGUACAGAUCAAACUUUGACUCAUUGUCCUAUGGCUGUGAUAUUUUUAUGAAUAUGGCUUCAGUUAAAGUAGCAGUGCGUGUCCGACCGUUCAACCAAAGGGAAGUGGACUUGAACUCUGUGUGUAUCGUAGAAGUUGAUGACAAGAAAACGAGGUUAAUCAAUCACAAGGUUAAUGCCAAUGAAGGAGAGAGUCGGGAGCGCAUUAAGGACUUCACAUUUGACUUCUCUUACUGGUCUCACAGUGAUUUAGAUAGACAUUUUGCUCCACAGGAGCAGAUAUAUGAAGACUUGGGGACUGAUGUUGUAUCAAAUGCUCUCCAGGGAUAUAAUGCCUGUGUCUUUGCUUAUGGACAAACAGGAAGUGGCAAAACCUUCACUAUGAUGGGUUCCCAGACCACUCCAGGGCUCAUUCCUAGAAUAUGUGAAGCUCUGUUCUCAUCUAUGGCAGAAGGCAGGGAAGCAGGAACUACAUACAAAGUUGAAGUGAGUUACUUAGAAAUCUACAAUGAACGAGUAAAGGACUUACUGAGACAAGGUGCCCACAACAACACUCACUCCCUUCGUGUCAGAGAACACCCCAAGCUUGGCCCAUACGUUCAGGAUCUCUCCUGCCAUCUGGUCCAUCAGUAUCAUGAUAUACAGGAGUUGAUGAGAAGAGGGAACUCACAUCGGACUACUGCAAGCACCCACAUGAAUGACACGAGUUCAAGAAGUCAUGCUAUAUUUACUGUAACCUUCAUUCAGGCAAAAUUAUUGUCAGAUACUCCAUUAGAAACCCGAUCAAAAAUUCAUCUUGUUGAUUUAGCUGGAAGUGAAAGAGCAGAUGCAACGGGAGCAACUGGGCAGAGGCUUAAAGAAGGGGCGCAUAUCAACAAGUCCCUAGUGACUCUGGGCUCAGUCAUCAGUGCUCUAGCAGAACAGGCAGCCAAGGCCACCUCAGGGAAAAACGUCUUUAUUCCAUACCGUGAUUCUGUCCUUACCUGGCUGUUGAAAGAUUCCCUUGGUGGCAACUCUAAAACUAUCAUGAUUGCAACAAUAUCUCCUGCUAAUGUGAAUUAUGGUGAGACGUUGAGCACGUUGAGGUAUGCCAACCGAGCUAAGAAUAUCAUAAAUAAACCAACAAUUAAUGAAGACCCAAAUGUAAAACUCAUCAGAGAAUUGCGUGAAGAAAUUCUCCAUCUCAAGACACUGAUUCAGGACACACACGUUAUUGGGCCUGAAGCAAACAGUGAAGCAGGCAGCAUAAUGGCAGCUCUUAGUCAGAAACAGGCAAAGGAGAAAGAGCUAACAGAUCAGUGGACUGAGCGAUGGAGUGAAACACAUACAAUAUUACAGGAGCAGAAAACUCUUGGCCUUCGCAAAGCUGGACAAGGUGUGGUUUUGGACUCUGAACGACCUCAUCUUGUAUUGAUAGAUGACAACUUACUAACCACAGGCGUUACUCUCUAUCACCUGAAUGAUGGCAUCACUACUAUAGGUUCCCUUUCAUCACAAGAUAUAAGACUGGAGGGUGGGGAAGUAUUAGAGGAGCACUGCACUAUUGAGCUACAUGAUGGUGCAGCAACACUAGAAUCUAAAUCUGAUGCACAAUGCUGGGUUAAUUCUCAGUUUGUUGACAAAUCAAGUAGACUUACCCAAGGUUGUGUGGUGGUGCUAGGAGGAAGCCACAUGUUCCGCUAUAAUGAUCCUCAAGAGGCAGCUAGAUUAAGAAAAGAAGGAAAUAAAGCACAUCUCAAUCUUUCCCGACUUUCCUUCUUGUCCAGAUCGGCUACGGAUCUUGUCAGAUCAUGUGACAACCUUCCAGGGAUGGACAGUGAUAUAGAGAAAAUUCAUUCCGAUAGCAGCAGUACUUCUAGGAUAUCUAAGAUGUCGAGGUUAACAGAGACAACAGAUCUUUGUGAAAUUUCAACACAAACAAGUCUCCAUACUCACAGUCAACCCACCACUCCUGUUGGAAGCCAUCUUGAAGACUGUAUUGCUAACCAUGCACUAAGAAAGUCCAGCUUAACGCUACCAUUGGUAGGAGAGAAAGAAGACUCUGCUGCCGAUUCAAAUUCAGUCAAUUCCACUCCUGCAUCAGAUACAUUUUAUACUGCUACCUCUGUUCUCUCCCCUGACCCUCGUGACCUGACUUCACCCCUGUCUCCACUACCUCUUGAUGUGCCUCACUCAGGAACUGAAAAGGAUAAAGAUAGUUUAAGCAAAGGUGCUCAUGGUGCCUUUGUUGAUGAAAGAAAUGACAUUGCUUCCAAAGUGCCUAAAGAAGAAGAUGCAAAAGCUUAUGAUGUAUCACAUUUUGAGAGAGAUGAUAUUGAUAUGUGUGCAUCUGUGUACAAAUCUCCUAGUGCCAGUGAUGCUGGAUGUGUUUCUGAGGCCUUUCAAGCUCAUGAUAAGGAUGUCAGCCAUCCAGGUCAAAAGCUUUUAUCUCCUGAAAAUAACAGUGAGUUUGAAGGUGCAUCUAAUACUGUUGAUAUUGCUGCUCUUCUUACAUCACCCAUCCUUCAAGUCGGUGAUCCUCUCCAGCCACAAAGGUCACCUGCAGUAAGUUUAGAGGCUACGUCUACACCAAUUAAAAAAGGAGGUGCACAUGAGCUUAGAAUAGGCUUUCAAAAUAUUAACACUAAUUUAGAUGAUGAAGACAAAAGAGAAUACUCCAGUUCUUACUUGUGCAAGGUGACUGUAAAUGAAUUUGCCCCUGAAUUGAACUGUGCUUCAUCUAUUAACACUUCAAGAAACCCAGAUACAUGCCCUUCUGAAAUAGAUAAUAAUAAUUUUAAGUCAGAUAACAAUAAUAGUUCUUCUGGUAAUGGGAACAUGGAAGGCAGUAAACCUCAGGAGCAUGAAACUGAAAAAAAUAAUGUCAGCAGAUGUCCAGCAACUAGUGUAGGAGAUAAUGGCAUGCCAAGUAAUGAAACAGAAGCAUCUUCAACGUGGUACUCUGGCGUGGAAAGGAGUGAAGGAAGUGCACUAAUACCACCAGAAACUGAAGUUGAAAGAGCAAAUGAGGUGCUUUUGAGAUUGCGGGAGAAUAGCGACAAUUCUAAUAUCAGCAUCACUGAGAAGAUUCGUGAGCUUGAAGCCCUAAAGCAUCAUUAUAGUAACCUAGAAGAUCAGCUCAUACAUCAACCAUCUGCGACAAAGGCUGAUCCACAAGGCUGUGUAGGACUAUCUCAAGGAUUAACGGAAGAUGAGGAAAAUGGACAGAGAGUUGAGAGACCUGCACAUCUUCCAUUAGACUCAACCCUUUUGCAGGAAGACAGAUUAGCUCUGUUGAUUGAACGCGAAGUUCAGAGACGCGUUCUAGAAGAAGUUGUUGCCCGAGAAAGUGCCACACUGAGUUCAAGGCCACAUCACAGAAGAACAUACCGUUCUAUGAGUGCCUCAAUGGACCCUUGGAAUUUAGGAAUGAGGGUCUUGACGCCAACAGAAGUGAGACCAUACACUUCAAUGAGUGCUGGCUAUGACAUGGAAGGUGAAACUGGGAACCGUCUUUACCAGAGUGCGACUUCUGCAGAUGAUUUGCUGCUCACCCCUGGUCCCCUUCAGUCUCCCUUGACAGGUGACUACGACAUGUCCUGUGGAAUCUGUAUCAGCAUACCAAGCUAUGAAAUGAGAGGUGCUGGCUCAGCUGCACAUUGGGAAUAUGAGGUAAAAAUAACAGCUGGAAAUGAUUCUUGGACAGUUUUUAGAAGAUACCGAAGGUUCAGGGAACUCCAUAUGUACAUGUGCCAUAAAUAUGGACAGCCUUUCCCGAGUCGGAUGUGAGAUGGGCAUUAUACUACAUUGUGACCCUAACAAACAUCCGGGUACAGUACUCCGGUUUCCUCCUGUACUAACUCUGGACACUAAAAGUCAUAACAAAAUAUAGACUGACUACAGGAACAGCUAGUAAGUUGACAAAUGGUAGAAAUGAUAAAUCAAAAUUAUAUUGGUAAUAAUAAACAAAUUAAUAAAAUAAAACAAUAAUGAUAAUAAUAUUGUAAUAAUAAGGAAUGUAAUAAUACCCUGUAGUCACCAAUCACAUGCUACAGAGUUUGUGGAUGGUACCAAUAACACAUACUAUACCAAUUUUACAUCCUGAACAAUUCCUGCCAGCUCUAAGAAUAUUCCAAUAAUUUCUCAAUUUCAUACUUUGAAUUAUCUUAUCCUCUUGCAUACUGGAAUUGAGGAGUAAAAACAAACGAGAAGAGAAAUUAUUGCUUGGAGAUAGAGGCAUCCAUAAGCGGGAUCAUCAUUCAUCUUAAAUUGAAGAGCUGUACUUUCCCCCUCGACGACUAUUUGGCAACUUCACAGAGAGAGUAGUAGCUGAGCGCAGGGGACAGCUUGAGGUGUACUUACAGCAACUGAUUGUGUUGUGCAGUGAGUUGG